GUUUUCAUUUUCUAUUUUUGAACAGAUGACGGUUGACUUUAGAAGUUCCACUGUACAAUAUAUUAAAAGCAAUAAUAAAAAAAAAAAGAAUCCUACUCUGCCCAGAGAAAGAAUGCGUAGGCGAAGCCAUGUGGAAAACAGUACAGAGUAUGAAUCAAAGUGAUGUAGAAGCAGCGCCACCGUCUUGGAUUUAAAAUCACAGACAUGUGCUUGUGUGUGUGUGUUG